UCUUAAAAACAAAAACCUAUAUUUUAUUGUUUAUUUCAUACAAAAACAGAUCAAAAUAAUCACUGUGUAUUGACCCUCUGCAUGUGACGUCACUCUUCGAAACUCCGCCCACUCCGCCAUGACACCGUGAAAAACAACCAAUGCGCGCCUGGUGAAGCCUGAUAGCGCUUCUAAUUAGUUUAUUUCGCAGUACAAAUGGUCACAGGACGCUGCGCGGUCGGCUGCACAAACAGACAAGGAUGAAAACCAAACUUGUCAUUUUAUUUAAUCUUUUAAUGAGGGAAGAUGGUGAUCGACAGCAGCCAAUGACUGGCAGCCCUCGGUGUAAUGGCGGAUUUGCAGUGAACACACUUUUACAAGUGUUUUGAUUCAGCUUUUACCGUGACCCUGAAGCUUGCAGACGCCUCCACCAUCAGGCACAUCUGCACCUCCUCUGCACUGAGGUUCUCCAGGCUGGCCUGACAUUGGCGAAUGCUGAGCUGUACACCCGAGGAAGCUGUUUCACCGCUUUGCUGAAUUCCCUGUGCAGCCUGGGCGAGUUUGACUCUCGGUAGCUGAUUUCAGCGAGGCAGGAACAAAAAUAAACAGUGAAACAAAUGUUUUGCAAACAAAAUA